UACAGAGGGUGCGAGCGUUGUUCGGAAUUAUUGGGCGUAAAGGGCGCGUAGGCGGUGCGGUAAGUCACCUGUGAAAUCUCCUGGCUCAACUGGGAGCUUGCAGGCGAAACUGCCGUGCUGGAGUGUGGGAGAGGUGCGUGGAAUUCCCGGUGUAGCGGUGAAAUGCGUAGAGAUGUGGAGGAACACCAGUGGCGAAGGCGACUCUUUGGCCUGUAACUGACACUGAGGCGCGAAAGCGUGGGGAGCAAACAGG
rnacentral:rRNA from 1 species